rnacentral:lncRNA from 1 species
CAUUUGUUAUGCAGGAGUUUCGGGCGGCUGAGGACGGUGGGCGGAGCCGUUGUCAGCAUACUCUGGUUUCUCUUCAGAUCGUAUAAAUCUUUCGCCUUUUACUAAAGAUUUCCGUGGAGAGGAACAAUUCUGAGUCUUAACCUAAUUUUUUGAUGUCCUACGUAUGUGGGACUGCUGUGGUUGGUUCAAAAGCAGAGUAUGGUUGCUGUGUGUGUGCACUUCGUUAGUUUCCUUGUGGAAGGUAACCCUUCUUUGGGUUUUGAAACAAGGGUUGUUUUGUGUAGCAUAGAAGUUGUCUAUACCGCAUGGCGUUGGUGGUGCACGCCUUUAAUCCCAGCACUCGGGAGGUAGAGGCAGGUGAAUCUCUGUGAGUUUGAUUUCUUUCUGGUUUCCAGAGCGAGUGCCAGGAUAAGCUCCAAAGCUACAAAAAGAAACCUUACCUCGGAAAAACAUAAAACAAAAAAGCCUAUACCAGAGACUCAGUUUCUCUUGAGAGCGGGAAAUCAUGGCUGCCACCGCUUUGCUUCCAUAAAUUGCUUGCAAGUUUUCCCUUAGAUAUCUCAAAAUACUUUAUGAUAUGCUCUCUCUCCAGGCAGGCCUGUUGUUGCUACCUGUCUCAGUAUGUCAUACUACUUAGAAGCUGGGUCGCGUAGCAGGCAAGACAGAUUUCUGUGAGUUCCAGGAUAGUCAGGGUUACCUAGAGAGACCCUGUCUCAAAACCCCAAACAGGCAGGCUUAGCUGUCUUAAGUUCUGUAUUAUAAUUUUAUAAGCUCUCUCCUCUUUCCAGCCUCACUUAUUUAUCUAUUUAUUUUUUUAUUGAGACAGGGCUUCUCAGUGUAGCCCUGUCUGUAGACCAGGCCGAUCUUUGUGAGUUCAAGGCCAGCGUGGUCUAUAAAAUCAGUUCCAGGACACGCAAGAGGUACACAGAGAAGUGGCAUCUUGAAAAGUCAACAUACCACUGGGUGGGGUGCUGCAAGCUUUCAUUUAUUUAUAUUUUUAAAUAAUUUAUUUGUAUUUUAUGUGCAUUGGUGUUUGCCUGCAUGUGUCUGUGUGAGGGUGUCAGAUCCCCUGGAACAGGAGUUACAGACAGUUGUGAGCUGCCAUGUGGGUGCUCAGAAUUGAACCCAGGUUUUCUAGAAGACCAAUCAGUGUCUUAACUACUGAGCCAUCUUUCCAAGUGGUGCAUUCCUUUAGUCCUAGCACUCCAGAGUCAGAGAGAUCUCUGUGAGUUCAAGGCCAACCUGAUAUAUAGAGUGAGUUCCAAACAAACAAACAAAAACCCCAACGAAAAAAGGAACAACAGGGAGAGCAGGAGAACCCAAACUAAAUCAAAACUGAAACACAAAACUGAGUUAGCUGGGCUGGGUGGCAAUGGUCUCUUCUUAUUCCAGUCACUGGUGACCGGAGGAAGGAAGUCCAAAGACAUCCUUGUACUCACAGAGAUCCUCCUGCUUUGCCUCCAGAGUGUUGGGAUGAAAGGCAUUUGCCACCACAGGCUGGUUGGAGAUGUUUUAUUAGACACAAGGAGAUGUUAAUGUCUGGCUGGAAUAGUAGGGGUUGAGGAAACAGAACCAAAGCAAAAGGCAG